GUGGGUGUAGUUUAGUGGUAAAAUUCGUCUACUUUCCAGACGAGCCCCAGGUUCGAUUCCUCGGCGCCCACC